UAUGCCAUAUUGACAGAGAUAGUCGAGCUGCAAUAUUUAGAUGGAAGGCGUGUGACAUUAUUUCGUUGCAGCUAGAUUGACGUAUUUAACAAAGAGCAUGGAAUGAAGUAAGACAACAAGAAUGGAAUCGUUAGGCUUAACCUGCAGUGUUUGCUUUAGAUAGAUGAGCCUUUCAUUCUGGAUAGCAAAGUUUUUUUUAAAAAAUAUUAUUAAGGACAAACUUAUAAAAGGAUGGCACACAAUUGUGAAAAAAUCCAUCACGUCAUGCUUAUAAUGUACCACAUGGACAUUCCGAUGUUAUACCCUCUGAACCUGAACCUGGCAAUAGUGACAAAGACGACUUCUUUCAAAAAUUAACAACAACGUCAUGUAGAAAGAGAACAACAUGAGGCCACUAGUUUAUUCAAGUCUUAAUCUGUAGUAUUUGAUUUGCUUCUUAUAUUAGCUUUUACCUUAUUAAUAAAUAGUGACACAAGUAGUUCUGUACUUACUUUAUUUGAUUUAGCAUUCACUUAUUUAACUUAAAUUGUACUUUGUAUAGCCUUUGUGCACACUUCAACCAAACGCUAUAUAUAUAGACACACACACACACAUGUUAUCACAGUGAGUCAUCAUAGGUAUGGAAACUUGACAACAUUAGCUUGGGAAAGAUGCUUUCACAGAUGAAUAAGUCUGGACUGGUACACAAAGGCAUUGCUAGGCGGACCUUCAUGGAGAAAUCAAGUCAAUUAGCAGAUUUCAGCAGAAAAGGGUUACCCACAGGCUCAAAUGCAAGAUGCGGAACUGUGAAAAAAAUACAAGUUAGCUACAAAAGAUGGAAACGAUGCGCUAACAAAUACACCAAUCUUGUUUAGUACAAAUUGGGAUGCAGGUGAUUCCAAAAGUGAGUUUCUAUGAAUGAUCAAGUUGAUGCGAGCAAUGAAAGUGACAUGGGAAAUUCAAUGGAUGAAUUUUAUGGUAUGUAAAAUGUAUUUAUUUCAUCUUUAAUUCAUCUACUGUGUUGGCCGAUUGGUUGUAUAUUUUCAAACACUACAAAUGGUGUAGAUGAAUUAAUAGGUAAUAAAAAUGUAGAAAGUGAAGAAGUGUAGGGCAACCAUGGCCUUGCAAGGAGUUUUUGGUCAGUUUCAUGUUGCCUCUUUAUUUGAUCUAGUAGUAAACCUUCUGGAUAGAUAAUUUGGGAAUUGGUACACAAUUUAACUUCUGUUGUUUUUAUUCCAAUAAUAUAAGAUCAGUAUGGAUAGUCUAUUUUCUAAGACACACAAGAAGGGUACAACCUUUGUUGAUUGUACAACCUCCGCCAAACACGUAAGACUUAAUUUAACUGUAAUAACUUCAAUAAUGAACAACAAGUGUAUAAUUCCUACUUAGAGAUAGAAGUAACUUACUGUUGGCGCUCCAACAACAAGUGUACAAUUCCUACUUAGAGAUAGAAGUAACUUACUGUUGGUGCUCCAGACACAAACUAAGACCAUAGUUUAACUCGAAGAAAAGUUCAAUGGCAUGGUGUAAGAAGUUUCUGAAAUUAAGCGACUUGUGUCGGGUAGUUCUCUAAGUGAUAGUUCUCAUGAAAGCCAACAUGAUCAAGUAAGUUGUUAUUAUACAUUGAUUUUAUAUGUUAUUACACUUUGUGCCAAUUUAUUCACAUGGGCUGACUUCCAUAAACUACUCAACAUUUUGUAGGAUUGAUGGUCCACCGUGAUAUAUAGAAGUAUCAAGUAUCAGGAGGCAGUGUAAGAGCUGAUGAAGAAUGGUAUCCAUUCGAACAAUGAUGGCGUCCCUCGAUUGAAGAUAAAUAAAUAUUAUAUUUUCUAGUUGUCUCGUUUUCCAAAUAGAUAUGAUCAAGUCCAUUGGUCAUAUAAGGAUUGCUUUUGACUCAAAUUUCUGAAAUGAUAUUUUUUCAGAAUUGUAUGUCGGAAUAUUGGUAUUUCUAUCUAUUAAUGAAAGA